ACCAUACUGUUACAUUUCCAACUCGAUGGGAGACACAUCUUUUUAUCACGACAUCUGAAUUGUGUUGAGUCGCACUGAAUUUGAUCAGGAAAAGCAACUUCGUCGACGAAUAUUGUACUGCUGUUCUCAUGUUGCAGCAACGACACGAAAGUGGCUGACCCUCCUGAGCGGAUAAAGGAUGGUGAUAUUGUACAGAUCUACCACGGGCUUACCAAGCGACCCUUGAACAGCCAUGAUGUUGGUGCACCAAUGAACCCUGCCAUCAUGGAGGUUUCUUGUUAUGUAGACCACAACAUUAACAUGUCGGCGAACACGCUUUGGAGAGUGGAGAUCCUGAACAAGUAUGACGAAGGUGAAUACUGGCUGUCGAUACGAUCUCAUGUCCGCCUGAUCCACGUCAAUACCACGUCAGCUCUCAGGGUGACAGGCAUCAUCUUACCAGAAUGGGGUUUUGGGCAGCAGGAAGUGGUG